GACGAACGCUGGCGGCGUGCCUAAUACAUGCAAGUAGAACGCUGAAGGAGGAGCUUGCUUCUCUGGAUGAGUUGCGAACGGGUGAGUAACGCGUAGGUAACCUGCCUGGUAGCGGGGGAUAACUAUUGGAAACGAUAGCUAAUACCGCAUAAUAGUAGAUGUUGCAUGACAUUUACUUAAAAGGUGCAAUUGCAUCACUACCAGAUGGACCUGCGUUGUAUUAGCUAGUUGGUGGGGUAACGGCUCACCAAGGCGACGAUACAUAGCCGACCCGAGAGGGUGAGCGGCCAAACUGGGACUGAGACACGGCCCAGACUCCUACGGGAGGCAGCAGUAGGGAAUCUUCGGCAAUGGACGAAAGUCUGACCGAGCAACGCCGCGUGAGUGAAGAAGGGUUUCGGAUCGUAAAGCUCUGUUGUAAGAGAAGAACGAGUGUGAGAGUGGAAAGUUCACACUGUGACGGUAUCUUACCAGAAAGAGACGGCUAACUACGUG
rnacentral:rRNA from 1 species